GUUAGGUAUGCGCGGGAUAAACCUUAGGUCGUUCGUAAGAGCGGCAGCCCCAAGUGGGUGGGAUCCUAAGGCCCGGAACCUACUUUUUU
ncrna:unclassified sequences DTF3800-VII RNA